AAAAAAGCUCAGAAAAUAUGCAUAUUCAAAAAGAAAAGGAAUUUUAAAAAAGCUAUGUGUAAGUCUACUACCCAAAGCUAAUUACUAUUAAUAUCAUGGUUUUAUGGCCUGGUGUGAUAAUGCACACUUGUAAUCUCAGCACUUGGGAGGCUGAUCCAGGAGGAUCACUGUGAGUCUGAGGCCAGCCUGGGCGAGAGAGAGAGAGAGAGAGAGAGAGAGAGAGAGAGAGACAGAGACAGAGAUAGAGAGAGAGACAGAGAGAGAAAGGGAGAGAGAGACAGAGAGAGAGAGAGAGGGAGUGAAAGAGGGAGAGAGAUUUGUUUUGGGGCAUGUAUAAUACUUGAUUAAAAGUAAUGACUAUGUUCUGUGAUGUGAAAUGCCCCUGAGGUUAUAUAUCUUUAAAAGUUAUCUCUUUUCUUUUUGUUUUUAGGGAUUGAACCCAAUAUCUUCACAAUGAGCUACAUUUCCAGCCUUCUAAAUUACUUUAAAAAAUUUUGACACAAGGUCUUGCUACAUUGCUAAAUUGCCCAGGCUAAGGGCCAGGGAUUUAGCUCAGUGGUUCUGCCACCUGCCUCGCAAGCACAAGGUCCUGAGUUCGAUCCCUGGGACCAAAAAAAAAAAAGAAAAAUUUCCCAGGCUAGAUUUGAACUUGUGAUCCUCUUGCUUCAGCCUCCUAGGGCACUGGGAUUCCAGACUCUUCAGUUUCUGGCUUCUGGUGUAAACUCUUCAGCCUUCCAUUGCAGACACAUCAGCCUCCUGAUAUGGACUCGAAAGGGACAUUGCAGUGAGCUCCAGACCUUCGAUACCAGGGAUAGAACUGAGGACCUUGUGCUUUCGAGGCAGGUGGCGGUACCACUGAGCUAAAUCACUGGCCAUUUUUUUUUUUUCCAUUGUUUAUUGGUACAUUUUAGGCUCUCGCUAUGUAGUUCAGGCUGGUCUUGAACUCGUGGCAAUCCUCCUGCCUCAGGCACUCCAGUGCUGGGAUUACAGGUCUACGCCACCAAGCCCGGCUAAACUUCUCUUUAUUGACAAAAGAGAUAGAGGAGGAAGCACAGACAUGUACAGAUGGGGAGAGAUCCUUAGAAGGGAAGACCUCCUUUGGUUAGCUUUGCGAUCUGGCUAGAAUUGGUUUGGCUGGCAGAACCUACACCGGGCGAAGGACGCAUGAAAUCCGAAGAGGAGGCAGUAGCUAACAAAAAUGAGUCUUUCCUAUAACUUUGGCACUUUUCUUGCUGCUGUGUUAUCACAUGAUUUAUUCAUACCCACCCAAUAAAAGGAAGAUGCCAAUAUCACUCCCAUUUUACAAGGAAUAACAUCAAUCGCGCCGAGGUCACCCAGCACAAAAGUGGCAGUGUUAGAACUCAAAAUUGCUUCACAGCACGCAGCGUUCAGUCAGGCGGUCGGAUUCUGUGCGCUGGUCGUCACCCGCCUUGCCACCUCCUUCGUGGGACAGUUCCCGGUACUGAGGGAUGGCGCUGUCCAGCCCGCGGACCCGCCGUCUGCCCCUGGCAAGAGAACGCGGCCCCGCGGGGCG
rnacentral:lncRNA from 1 species